UUUAACAACAAAGCCCCGACUCAUCCUGCUACUAAUAAAGAGUUCGAUCAACAUAUAUAUGAGACCCCUUCAGUCAUAUAUGAGAAUACAUAGACUCAAAGGAUUUUCCUUUUUAAGGAAAUAGAGUCUGCAUUUAGUCACUGUGUCCAUCAUCUCUGGGACACUCUGCCUGUGGAUCUGAGGGACUUCAUCACUAUAGACAUCUUUAAAAAAAAAAAAACUCAAGACAUAUCUUUUAUAUCUUUACAUAUCUUGUAAGCUGGUUUUUAUUUAAGGUGCCUCGUCAUUUACUGCCAAGCUUUUAUAUCUCGAUCAUCCUCUCUUAUACUUCUUAUGCACUGUGUUUGCAAUGCAUACCUUUUACUUCCUGGAUUUUAUUUAUUAUGACAUUUUAUAAUUGUAUUUUUAAUGUAUUUUGUUUGAUCCAAUUCAUUGUUGUAUAUUUCUGUGAACACUUUGGGCUGCAUGUUUGCAUGAAAGGUGCAAUUAAAAUAAGUAUCCAUCAAUACAAUACUCUACACAAAAUGUUAAUGUUUUAUCUGUAAUCUAACAACCAGUGAACAUGUAAUACUAUUUUAAAGAUGAU